AUGUAUUCCGGACUGUCCGUGACAAGUUGCCAUUGGAUUUUAGUCAUGCAGAUAAUUAGAACUGCCUGCCGCCCCGUAUUUCCUGCAAUGACAAAAAUUGACCCGAUGGGCUCAAUCAGUGAAGAGUCACAAAAGUCGGCAGAGGUAUCUAUGGAGCGUCCAACUUACAUUAUUAGAAAAAGUCCAGAUGGUUUGAGCGGAAAAUCCGAACAAAAUACCAUGAAUGGACUUGAAAACGGCAACCCAUCGUCAUACACGGAAUUCCAUGUUCUUAAAAGAAGGCAAGUCCUCACAGGUGCAAAAGCAAGUUGGCAUGCGGCAGGGGCUGUUCGCGCUGUGACAAAAACAGGCAUGGAAUGGAUCGUGGAAGCAGGAAGAUUGGUGAAAAAAGGGGCGAAAAUGCUCCGACCAAAGAAUUUAAAAAAACUAUUGAAGCCUAAGAAGAAAAAGGAAGGUAAGGGGGUUGGUUUCUUUCAUCGUAGUCACAAGGAGCACAAGGAGCACAAGAAGCACAAGGAUAAAGACCCUGCGUAAUUUUAAAAAAUGAGGUCAAUCGAUUGAAAGAUGCUGAAAGAAAAGAUUGCAUUUUUUAAGUAAAGAACUCAGAAAUUAGUAAAGUUUUGGAAAAUUUAGUAAGAUUUAUUGUACAAUAAAGUUUGUACUUUGUU
rnacentral:lncRNA from 1 species